rnacentral:tRNA from 1 species
GCCGGGGUGGCGGAAUUGGUAUACGCGACGGAUUCAAAACCCGUUCCCGUGAGGGUUGAGGGUUCGACUCCCUCCUCCGGCA